AGCAGUCGCCGCGGGAAUACGAAGGGUGCAAGCGUUACUCGGAAUUACUGGGCGUAAAGCGUGCGUAGGCGGUGAGUUAAGUCUGCUGUGAAAUCCCCGGGCUCAACCUGGGAAUGGCAGUGGAUACUGGCUCGCUAGAGUGUGUCAGAGGAUGGUGGAAUUCCCGGUGUAGCGGUGAAAUGCGUAGAGAUCGGAAGGAACAUCUGUGGCGAAGGCGACUAUCUGGGCCAUUACUGACACUGAGGCACGAAAGCGUGGGGAGCAAACAGGAUUAGAUACCCCCGUAGUCCCUGUCUCUUAUAC
rnacentral:rRNA from 1 species